rnacentral:misc_RNA from 1 species
GCCCCGGCCAAACGCAUCUCAUCAAGAAGGUCAUGUGCCUGAUCGAGCCACCCAAGUGAAAUGCAUGAAUUAAUGACAUGAACUAAGACUGAAUCAUCAUUAGAAGCAGGGGAAUCUUCUUUCUCGGCCUUGUUGAGAAAGGCAACCAACUCCUUAGUCUUGCCAGAUUCUAAAUAUGCCUUGAUCAGUUUCACAUAAAUUUU